CCACAAGGUCGUAUGGCAUCGCCAGUCCACUUUUUAGCAUAACGUCGUUAGCUAUUUUUUGGGUUUUUCGUUACGCACCUGGUUGUUUUUCGAUGCUGACACAACAACCACAAUUCUAGCACCUAAAAAUGACAUUCAGAAUAAACUAAUUUAGGAACGAUACACUAAAUCUAAGCCACUAAUUCGACCACAACCAUUACAUUUGGCCUUAGCAAAACAAGUCAACCCCUCAUCGAAAGCAUUAAUCACUUACCUUUGAAGUAACAACAUUUUCUAUCCACACCUAGACCACCGGAGGAGAGUUUCGCAUCUCUCGAUUCUCACCUAACAAAUCACAAUAGGAAUUAACCCAAAAAAAAAAUUCAAUCAAAAACCACAAAGCGACAAUACGCAUUGCAUUCACCGCUCAUAACUCAUGAAAAGAAUUCACUUACACCAAAAUUUGAUACUUCAACAGUGAACUUCCAAACACUCAAAACCCAAACCAAUAACAGUAGAUUAACAACCACUCAAAAUAGGGAACAAAAUCUGAACAGCAUAACCGC
rnacentral:lncRNA from 1 species